rnacentral:lncRNA from 1 species
CUACGGGUUGUUUUUUUGGGGGGGGGGGAAAAAGUGUUAAUUUGCUUUUUCUUGGUCAAAAAUUCAAAUUUUUUAAUUUUUUUUUUCUUUUUUUGGGGGGGGUUAUUUAUUAAUUUGUUUGGGUUUUUAUGUAUUUUUGUAUUUUUGCCCCAGAUUUUGGGCAGGGGAUGGGUUUGAGCGAGCGCCGAAUUUUUGGUGGGGGGAGUUUAUUUCCUUUUUCUUGCUCAAUAAUUCAAAUUUUUAAAAAUUAUUAUUUUUGGGGGGGGUUAUUUAUUAAUUUGUUUGGGUUUUUAUGUAUUUUUGUAUUUUUGCCCCAGAUUUUGGGCAGGGGAUGGGUUUGAGCGAGCGCCGAAUUUUUGGUGGGGGGAGUUUAUUUCCUUUUUCUUGCUCAAUAAUUCAAAUUUUUAAAAAUUAUUAUUUUUUGGGGGGGUAUUUAUUAAUUUGUUUGGGUUUUUAUGUAUUUUUGUAUUUUUUGCCCCAGAUUUUGGGCAGAUUUUUGGACAAGUUCGAGCGAGCGCUGAAUUUUUGGUGGGGGGAGUUUAUUUCCUUCUUCUUGCUCAAUAAUUCAAUUUUUAAAUUUUUUUUUUAUUUUUGGGGGGGUUAUUUAUUAAUUUGUUUGUUUAUGCAUUUAUUUAUUAAUUUAUUUAUGUAUUUAUUUAUUUUUUGGGGGGGUGGAGCCCCCAGAUUUUGGGCAGGAGUUGGACACUUUGGGCAAGCACCAAAUUUUGGGGGUUUAUUUCCUUCCCCUCACUCAAUAAUUCAAUUUUUAAUUUUUUUUUUUUAUUUUUUUUGGGGGGGUUAUUUAUUAAUUUAUUCGUUUAUGUAUUUAUUUAUUAAUUUGUUUAUGUAUUUAUUUAAUUUUGGGGGGGGUGGAGCCCCCAGAUUUUGAGGAGGGAGGGGGUGAUUCAGGCAGCGCCCAAACUCCGUCGGGAUGAAAUUUUGGGGCUGGAUUUUGGUAAUUUUUUUGGGGAGAAAAGCCCCCAAAUUGGGGGUCAUGAUUUGAGGGGGGGGACACAAAAUUGAAGCUCCACCGGGAUGAAAUUUGGGGGGAAAAGACCCUAAAAAAGCCCCCCCCCCCCAANNNNNNNNNNNNNNNNNNNNNNNNNNNNNNNNNCAUCGGUUUUGGAAUAUUUUUGCCUUUUUUUUUGACAUUUUUGCUUGUUUCCGCCUUUUUU